rnacentral:rRNA from 1 species
GACGAACGCUGGCGGCGUGCCUAAUACAUGCAAGUCGAACGGAAAGGCCCUGCUCUUGUGGGGUGCUCGUGUGGCGAAAGGGUGAGAAACACGCGUGUAACCUCUCCUUGACUUUGGGGUAACACUAGGAAAAUCGGGAUCUUACAGGACAGGACAACCUGUUGCACGGUGGGGGUUGGAAAGUUUCGGCGGUUGGGGAUGGCCUGGUGGCCUUUCAGCUUGUUGGCGGGGUGGUGGCUUACCAAGGCACCGACGGGUCGCCGGCCUGAGAGGGUGACCGGCCACAUUGGGACUGGGGAGCGACCCGGAGUCCUACUGGGGGCAGCGGUGGGGAAUAUAGCGCAAUGGGCGGAAGCCUUAUGCAAGAACGCCGCGUGCUGGAUGACGGCCUUCGGGUUAUAAACCGCUUGCGCCUGUGACGAAGCGUGUGUGACGGUAGUUUAUAAAGAAGCACCGGCUAACUACGUG